AUUAGCUUUAAAAUUUAAUUCAGCCAUAUAAUUAUAAACAAACGUAUUGUUGACUGAGCAUUUAAGUAGUUAUUAUCCAGCUUAUAAAUUGCAAGAGUUGGGUACUCUAAGUUAAUACUAUAAUAUUAUACCGUACUUGACCAAUCAUCACUAACAGCAUCAAUGACUGUGAAAAAUGCUGUGCCUUUUAUUAUUAAUCGAAAGAAAUCCAAUAGCGCAAAUACUUUUUGCUUUGAAACAAUAGAAGCAAAGCAAUUAAAUUUUCAUGUUUUACCAACAAUGUUAUUUAGUGGACAGUCAAUAGUUCGAUUUUAUUUUAAAAUAUUACAUUUAAAAGAACUGUGUCCAAAAUUGAUAAAAUACAAUAUGUUUUUUGUUUUAAUGAUUUUAAAGAGUGUAAAAAACAUGGGUCAAAUAUUGAAGAAAACUACAAAUACAUAAAAAUAAUGCAUUAUAGUUAAACCAACAAGAUUAAAUAUUUUCAACAAGACAGCAGCUAUUCAACUGGAAAUAAAUGCAGAUCGAUUGAAGGAUAUAACAUAUAAUUUUGUAUGUAAUAUAUCCGAAGAAUGCAACCAAUACUUCAAUUUCCAAAACCUAUUCAUCAAAUAACUUCAACACUAAAAAAUUGAUAACAAUAAAUUAAUUUAACUUUCUAA
rnacentral:lncRNA from 1 species